rnacentral:tRNA from 1 species
AGGGAUAUCGCCAAGCGGUAACGGCACAGGAUUUUGAUUCCCGUAUUCGUGGGUUCAAAUCCCACUAUCCCCG